CCCUCCUUUUCUCCUCCCCUUCGUUAAUUAGUUCAUCGCAGUUCAAGUGCUGGAUCCUUUUUGUCCCUUAUUGCGUGCGGUGUCAGCUUCCUUGCGGAAGUGGUGGCCGUGAGAGAAGAAGAUGGCGGCCCCUGUAGUGGCGCCGCCUGGUGUGGUGGUUAGUCGGGCCAACAAGCGCAGCGGCGCGGGGCCAGGAGGCAGCGGUGGCGGGGGAGCCAGAGGGGCGGAGGAGGAACCGCCGCCGCCCCUACAAGCAGUUCUGGUGGCCGAUAGCUUCGAUCGCCGCUUCUUCCCCAUCUCCAAGGACCAGCCUAGGGUCCUCUUGCCCCUGGCCAAUGUGGCAUUAAUUGACUAUACUCUGGAAUUCCUGACUGCCACAGGUGUACAGGAAACAUUUGUCUUUUGUUGCUGGAAAGCUGCUCAGAUCAAAGAACAUUUACUGAAGUCCAAGUGGUGCCGCCCUACAUCUCUCAAUGUGGUUCGAAUAAUUACAUCAGAGCUCUAUCGAUCACUGGGAGAUGUCCUCCGUGAUGUUGAUGCCAAGGCCUUGGUGCGCUCUGACUUCCUUCUGGUGUAUGGGGAUGUCAUCUCAAACAUCAAUAUCACCAGAGCCCUUGAGGAACACAGGUUGAGACGGAAGCUAGAAAAAAAUGUUUCUGUGAUGACGAUGAUCUUCAAGGAGUCAUCCCCCAGCCACCCAACUCGUUGCCACGAAGAAAAUGUGGUAGUGGCUGUGGAUAGUGCCACAAACAGGGUUCUCCAUUUUCAGAAGACCCAGGGUCUCCGGCGUUUUUCAUUUCCUCUGAGCCUAUUUCAGGGCAGUAGUGAUGGAGUGGAGGUUCGAUAUGAUUUACUGGAUUGUCAUAUCAGCAUCUGUUCUCCUCAGGUGGCGCAACUCUUUACAGACAACUUUGACUACCAAACUCGAGAUGACUUUGUGCGAGGUCUCUUAGUGAAUGAGGAGAUUCUAGGGAACCAGAUCCACAUGCACGUAACAGCUAAGGAAUAUGGUGCCCGUGUCUCCAACCUACACAUGUACUCAGCUGUCUGUGCUGACGUCAUCCGCCGAUGGGUCUACCCUCUCACCCCAGAGGCAAACUUCACUGACAGCACCACCCAGAGCUGCACUCAUUCCCGGCACAAUAUCUACCGAGGGCCUGAGGUCAGCCUGGGCCAUGGCAGCAUCCUAGAGGAAAAUGUGCUCCUGGGCUCUGGCACUGUCAUUGGCAGCAAUUGCUUUAUCACCAACAGUGUCAUUGGCCCUGGCUGCCACAUUGGUGAUAACGUGGUGCUGGACCAGACCUACCUGUGGCAGGGUGUUCGAGUGGCUGCUGGAGCACAGAUCCAUCAGUCUCUGCUUUGUGACAAUGCUGAGGUCAAGGAACGAGUGACACUGAAACCACGCUGUGUCCUCACUUCCCAGGUGGUCGUGGGCCCAAAUAUCAUGCUGCCUGAGGGCUCGGUGAUCUCUUUGCACCCUCCAGAUACAGAGGAAGAUGAAGAUGAUGGGGAGUUCAGUGAUGAUUCUGAGGCUGACCAAGAAAAGGAGAAAGUGAAGAUGAAAGGUUACAAUCCAGCAGAAGUAGGAGUUGCUGGCAAGGGCUACCUCUGGAAAGCUGCAGGCAUGAACACGGAGGAAGAGGAAGAACUGCAGCAGAAUCUGUGGGGACUCAAGAUCAACAUGGAAGAAGAGAGUGAAAGUGAAAGUGAGCAAAGCAUGGAUUCUGAGGAGCCGGACAGCCGGGGCGGCUCCCCUCAGAUGGAUGACAUCAAAGUGUUCCAGAAUGAAGUUCUAGGAACACUACAGCGGGGCAAAGAGGAGAACAUUUCUUGUGACAAUCUCGUCCUGGAAAUCAAUUCUCUCAAUCUCCCCACAGGUAUGCCUAUAACAUAAGUCUAAAGGAGGUGAUGCAGGUACUGAGCCACGUGGUCCUGGAGUUCCCCCUGCAACAGAUGGAUUCCCCGCUUGACUCAAGCCGCUACUGUGCCCUGCUGCUUCCUCUGCUCAAGGCCUGGAGCCCUGUUUUUAGGAACUACAUAAAGCGUGCAGCCGACCACUUGGAAGCGUUAGCAGCCAUUGAGGACUUCUUCCUAGAGCAUGAAGCGCUUGGUAUUUCCAUGGCCAAGGUACUGAUGGCUUUCUACCAGCUGGAGAUCCUGGCUGAGGAAACAAUUCUGAGCUGGUUCAGCCAAAGAGAUAUAACUGACAAGGGCCGGCAGUUGCGCAAGAAUCAACAGCUGCAGAGGUUCAUCCAGUGGCUAAAAGAGGCAGAAGAGGAGUCAUCUGAAGAUGACUGAAGUCAUACUGCCUGCCCCUGUGGGUGUGAUUGAGUGCCCUCCUGGCUCCUGGGCUGGGACAAGUUAGGAACUAGCUGCAGAGGGAUGAAUGACCACCAUCCAGGCUGAGACUGAAAGGAGCAGAGGCUGGAACUACAGUAUUCUCUCCCCUGCUAGCAACCAUGUGCCUCCCAUCCUGACUGUGGAAUUGGGAUGUGGAAAGUGGGGCUGGAACAAAGCUUCUGCCUAGGGAGGAGCUAAGCAGGCCCUGCAGUUGGAGGAAGGCCAGAGGAACAGCUAUGUGCUCUGGCUUUCCCUCAGGGAAAAGCAGAGAGCAGCUGGCUCUCUCUGCUGCUUGUAUAUGUUAAUAUUAAAAGAGAGAGGGGUGUA